GCCUGCCCAGUGACUAAGUUAAACGGCCGCGGUACCCUAACCGUGCAAAGGUAGCGCAAUCACUUGUUCUUUAAAUGAGGACUAGUAUGAACGGCAUCACGAGGGUUAUGCUGUCUCCCUAUUCUAUUCAGUGAAACUGAUCUCCCCGUGAAGAAGCGGGGAUAAAAAUAUAAGACGAGAAGACCCCAUGGAGCUUUAAACUCAGUACCAACUGCCCAAUUAAAAACCUUUUACCCCUGCAGCUAUGGUUACUAGUUUUCGGUUGGGGUGACCACGGAGUAAAAAUUAACCUCCACGAUGAAAGGAACUAACAACCUAACCUAUGAGCUACAGCUCUAAGUAUCAAUAAAUUGACUAAUUGAUCCAAUUACUUGAUCAACGAACCUAGUUACCCUGGGGAUAACAGCGCAAUCCAUUUCAAGAGCUCAUAUCGACAAAUGGGUUUACGACCUCGAUGUUGGAUCAGGGUAUCCCAGUGGCGCAGCCGCUACUAAAGGUUCGUUUGUUCAACGAUUAAAACCCUACGUGAUCUGAGUUCAAACCGGAG
rnacentral:rRNA from 1 species